rnacentral:rRNA from 1 species
GAUGAACGCUAGCGGGAGGCCUAACACAUGCAAGCCGAGCGGUAUUGUUUCUUCGGAAAUGAGAGAGCGGCGUACGGGUGCGGAACACGUGUGCAACCUGCCUUUAUCUGGGGGAUAGCCUUUCGAAAGGAAGAUUAAUACUCCAUAAUAUAUUGAACGGCAUCGUUUAAUAUUGAAAGCUCCGGCGGCUAGAGAUGGGCACGCGCAAGAUUAGCUAGUUGGUGAGGUAACGGCUCACCAAGGCGAUGAUCUUUAGGGGGCCUGAGAGGGUGAUCCCCCACACUGGUACUGAGACACGGACCAGACUCCUACGGGAGGCAGCAGUGAGGAAUAUUGGUCAAUGGGUGCAAGCCUGAACCAGCCAUCCCGCGUGAAGGACGACUGCCCUAUGGGUUGUAAACUUCUUUUGUAUAGGGAUAAACCUACCCUCGUGAGGGUAGCUGAAGGUACUAUACGAAUAAGCACCGGCUAACUCCGUGCCAGCAGCCGCAGUAACAC